rnacentral:rRNA from 1 species
AUGUCACCCCGCCGCCGCUUCCCCUCCACUCACCGCGCGCCACGUCAGCGCCCAGCCUCCCCACCUCACCGCCGGGCCCGGAAAGCCCGCAACCGGCCCGCGCGGGUCCAUCUCCUCGCGCCGCCGCCCGGGAGGCGCCGCCUUCGUCCUCCCCGACGCCGUCCGCCGCCCGCCGCCUGUCUCCACCGCGCUUCGACCCCGCCGUACUUCUCCCAUGCCGCCACCUACCAAGCUCCCCGCCGGCCCCGUCUUGCCGCGUCGUCGCCGGAUCCGGGCCUUCCCUCGUCGGAUCCACCUCUCCCCAUCCCCGCUGCUUCCCGUGCCGCAACCGGGGAAGCCCCGCCGUCCCUCGCCGGCUUCACCAUCGGGCGCCGCCGCCCCUGCCUCCCCGAUCCGAUCGGGAUCGAGGGAGACGAGCCCCUCCUCGUGGGCCUCCGCACCAGCCCAGCUCGCCCGCGCCCCCGCGAAGGCCCAGCUCCCCGCGGUCCAGCCUCCCGCGCCUCCAGGCCCAGAUCGCCCGCGCCCGAGUGGGCCACCUCCUCUGAACCGGGCCAGAUCCAUCUCCCACCGGCCUGCUUCCCCAGCGCGAGCGCCCCAAGGCCCAUCUCCAGCGCCGGCCUCGCUCGGCCUCCUCCCCAGCUCCCUUCGCCAGCCGCGUGGGCCGCAGCGCCAGGCCCAGCCGGGCCACCUCCUCCGUACUGCGCCAGCCCAGCUGGUCUGCCUCUCCCUCCGACCGGGCCAGGCCCAAGGGUGAGCCGACCCCAGCGCCCCUCCUCUUUUCUCUUCCUCGCUGUUGGGCUUCCUCAGAUUCGGCCCGAUGCAUGUUUUUUUCAGCGUCUGGACGAUUUGUCUAUUAUCCUGAGACAGCAGUUUUGCAGUUUAGUCCCCCUAGUUCAUGCAUUUAAUAACCCACAAACCGUGCAUCGGAUUAAAAUGUUUUAUAUAUGA